GUACACACCGCCCGUCACACCAUGGGAGUUGGGAAUGCCCGAAGCCGGUGACCUAACCGAAAGGGAGGGAGCCGUCGAAGGCAGGCUUGAUAACUGGGGUGAAGUCGUAACAAGGUAUC
rnacentral:rRNA from 1 species